rnacentral:lncRNA from 10 species
AAGGAGGCAGGCAGAAUAGCUGGGAGGGGCUCUCUCUGCUUCAUGGGAGUUAGGGCUGGGCUUUUGGGUGGCCCCUGCUAGUGAUGAGGAACCUUGGCGAGAGUGAAUCUCCUUCCAAGGUGUCUCCUGGAGACACUGUGCCUUGGAGCAAAGGGAUGCUUGAGUUGGGGAGCUAGGGGCUGGGAGAAGGGUGGACACAGAUGUACUGAAGACCAGUGCCCUUGCCUCAGAAUGCAACAACUCUGAUGUGAUUUGUUCUCUAGAGCCACCUAGUGGAUCAGGCCAAGCUCCAGGAUGCGAACACUCCUGGCCCCUGCCCCUUCCCUAUCCUCCUUCACUCUGUCCCUUGGAACCCUUUUCGUGUUUGCAGAAUUCCUUAAGGACUCCUUGGCCCCUAGGCCAGGGAUGAAGUCCAUCCCAGCUAGGGUGUCCCAGAGGCGUCGGUUUCACUGGUGCUACUGUGAACCUUCACACUAUCACAAUUAUUAUAUGAUAAUUAUGGGUAUCCUGAGUUCAAUUCCAUGGCCUCUUUUCUGCCAUGUGGCCUAAGGCAAGUCCCUUCUCUUUUCUGAGUCUUAGUGCUCCCAUCUGUUCAAGGAGGAGCUGGAUCAGAUACUUGCUGAAGAUGACAGUCUGAGGGUCCCUUGUGCCAAUGCCAACAAGGAAGCUCUUGAGGUCUCAGGCUGUUUCCUGUACCCUAGGAAUGAUGGCUGCACAUCAGCCCCCGACCUUCUUCCAGAUCCUUGGCCAGGCUCUGCUCCUUGCUGCAGGACCUUUACUGUGCAGUUUUCUGUGCCUGGAAGCCUCACCUCGCUCCCAGAUGACACCAGCUUCCUUGGCUUCCAGACACAUUGUUCCCUGCAUUUCUUAUGAAACCUAAUACAGUUUGUAACUUGAUCUUUGAUUCGUGACUAUCUGCUUUAUAUCCAGGUCUUCCUCAGGACUGUGAGCUCUUAAGAGCAGGGCCUCUGUCUGUUCUUUUCAUGGCUAGUCUAUAAUUCUCUUAAUACAUGGUGGGCCAGGUGCGGUGGCUCACGCCUGUAAUCCCAGCGCUUUGAGAGGCUGAGGUGGGCAGAUCACUUGAGGUCAGGAGUUUGACACCAGCCUGGCUAACAUAGUAAAACCCUGUCUCUACUCAAAAUACAAAAAAAUUAUCCAGGCAUGGUGGCAGGUGCAUGUAAUCCCAGCUACUUGGGAGACUGAGGCAGGAAAAUCGCUUGAACCUGGGAGAAGGAGGUUGCAGUGAGCCAAGAUCGAGCCACUGCACUCCAGCCUGGGUGACAGAGCUAGACUCCAUCUCAAAACAAACAAACAAACAAACAAACAAACCAACAGAAAAACAUGGUGCCUGGUGGUAGGCAUUCAUUAAAUACCUAUUAAAGUGAAUGAGUGAGUGGUGGUCAUCAUGAUUAUUACUUGGAGCCAAGAAACUCUCUAAGAUUGGAGAACCCAUCUGACCACCCCAGAAAGGGAAGGCCAGGUCAGGCCAACAGUAUGUGUAACCCCCUGGUGGCCUUC